CCAAUAGCGUAUAUUAAAGUUGUUGCAGUUAAAAAGCUCGUAGUUGAAUUUCGGGAUCAGACUGUCGGUCGUGCCUCGGUACGCACUGGCAUUAUUGGUUCCUACCUUCUGAAGAACCGCGAUGUCAUUAAUUUGGUGUCGUGGGGAAUCAGGACUGUUACUUUGAAAAAAUUAGAGUGUUUAAAGCAGGCGCACGCUUGAAUACAUUAGCAUGGAAUAAUGAAAUAGGACGUUUGAUUCUAUUUUGUUGGUUUCUAGGAUCGACGUAAUGAUUAAUAGGGAUAGUUGGGGGCAUUAGUAUUCAAUUGUCAGAGGUGAAAUUCUUGGAUUUAUUGAAGACUAACUACUGCGAAAGCAUUUGCAAAGGAUGUUUUCAUUAAUCAAGAACGAAAGUUAGGGGAUCGAAGACGAUCAGAUACCGUCGUAGUCUUAACCAUAAACUAUGCCGACUAGGGAUCGGAUGAUGUUAAUUUUAUAAUGACUCAUUCAGCGCCUUACG
rnacentral:rRNA from 1 species